CGCUGGCGGCGUGCCUAAUACAUGCAAGUCGAACGGCUUUUCUAUGGAAGCUUGCUUCCACUGAGAAGAUAGUGGCGAACGGGUGAGUAACACGUGGGUAACCUGCCCAUAAGAGGGGGAUAACAUCCGGAAACGGGUGCUAAUACCGCAUAGUUUUCUUGAUCGCAUGAUUGAGAAAGGAAAGACGGCCUUUGUGCUGUCGCUUAUGGAUGGACCCGCGGCGUAUUAGUUAGUUGGUGAGGUAACGGCUCACCAAGACGAUGAUACGUAGCCGACCUGAGAGGGUGAUCGGCCACAUUGGGACUGAGACACGGCCCAAACUCCUACGGGAGGCAGCAGUAGGGAAUCUUCCGCAAUGGACGAAAGUCUGACGGAGCAACGCCGCGUGAGUGAAGAAAAGGUUUUCGGAUCGUAAAACUCUGUUGUCAGAGAAGAACAAGUUGGAGAGUAACUGCUCCAGCCUUGACGGUAUCUGACCAGAAAGCCACGGCUAACUACGUGCCAGCCGCUGC
rnacentral:rRNA from 1 species